UGCGGUUAUACAAAAAUUAAAUUAAAUUUUUUUAGGAUUUAAUUAAUAAAAUUAAAAUUAAUAAUUUAAAUUUUAAAUUAUAAAGUGAAAUUUUAAAUUUAAUUAAAAUUUAUUUAUUUUUAUGAUAUUAAUAAAUUUUAUAAAAAACUAGGAUUAGAUACCCUAUUAUAAAAAUUUAAAUUUAAAUAAUCUUAAAAUAGUAUAUAAUUUUUUAUAGAAACUUAAAUAAUUUGGCGGUAUUUUAGUUCAUUUAGAGGAAUCUGUCUAAUAAUUGAUAAUCCACGAUUAAAUUUACUUAAUUUUUAAUUUUGUAUAUCGUUGUUAAAAAAAUAUUUUUAAAUAAUUUUAAUAUUUAAAAAUUUAUAUAAAAAAUUAAAUCAGAUCAAGAUGCAGAUUAUAAUUAAGAAUAUGAUGGAUUACAAUAAACUUUAUUUUAUUUGGAUAUUAAUUUGAAAUAAAUUGAUUGAAAUUGGAUUUAAAUGUAAUUUUAUUUAUUUUAAUAAAAUGAUUAAAAAUUAAAAUAUGUACAUAUUGCCCGUCGCUUUCAUUAAUAAAUUGAAAUAAGUCGUAACAAAGUAGAGGUACUGGAAAGUGUUUCUAGAAAGAU
rnacentral:rRNA from 1 species